GAUGCUUCAGCACUUGCCUUUGAUCCCUCAGGGCAGCCGGUGACCCCGGGGUCUCCUCCCAUGAGUCGUGUUGGACACACACAGAAGCCAAUGGAUCUUGAAGGUUAGACUCCGGCAUAAAGGCCCUAGAAUAACUUCUUCAAGGCCUCUCUUCAUCAUCACUUCCUGUCACUGUCAGUGGAAUGCUGCCUGUGCCCUCCCUCCCCCCUUCCCUAGCCCUGCAGUGUCCUGUCUCUCACUAAUGGAAACCCAGCAGGGGUUCCACAGGGAAUACGCUUCACAGAAAGGUCAGAUGUUAUGGAUUCUCCGGGACUUCUCACCAACUGCCCUACCCUAAAACACCAUCUCCUGCAAGGCAGGCCUGAGAGCUGACUGUGUGAAGGCUUCAAAACAGAUGACCACACGUCUGAGACGGAGACAGGGGCGCGGCAGCAGCUCGCGCAAGGCUUCCUGGACGAUGAACUGAGGGAUGAGCUGCAUGCUUGGCCUUGGCUCACCAACUCGGCUUUGGUUGUUUUGCUUUUCUGUUUUUACUAUAAAAGUAGUUCGUGCUCAUUAAGUAGAACUUGGGAAAUA